rnacentral:lncRNA from 1 species
AUGAAAUUAAAAAAAGAAGUAAAAUCAUCAUACAUUAAGACUUCCUGCCGCAAUCCCCUUCCGGUCCAUAUCGGAUGUACAACGAUUAAUGUCGCAUACCUGAAUCGAAUUAUUUCAUUAGGUAUACAAUUUUGUACAAAUGUCAUGGAAUCGAAAAUUUUAUUUAUAAUUUAUUUGACUUUAAGUGUAAAUGAACCAACGUUUUAUUUUUAUACAUUGUCAUUUGUUGAUUUUACCUGUUGUCAUUUGCGGCUGCUCGAAACAUGCACUGAAAAAAAGUUCUGUUGUCACAAACCAGAAUUUCUGGUUGUAUUUCGCAACCAGAUUUUCCGGUUGAUUUAACCAGAAUUACAGCUGACUCAACCAGAAUUUGGUAGUCAACCAGACGUCUGGCUGAGUCAACUGUAAUUUUGGUUGAAUCAACCGGAAAAUCUGGUUGCGAAAUACAUCCAGAAAUUCUGGUAUACGUGACAACAGAACUUUUUUUCAGUGUGGGUCGCUAUUAAUUGGAUUGCAUUUUGCAAUAAGGAACCACUAUUUCUGGCCCUUUUUAGAAACAACAUAAAUGCCAUUGGUUUCCCUAUGCAGAUAUGUGCUUUUAUAAGAGAGCCAGAGAUAGUGGUUCCUUACUGCAAUAUGUAAUCAAUCGAGUCUAAUCAAUGAUCUCAAGCAUGCGGAUCUUCCCUAUACUGCCCUGCUAAGGAAAAACGUCGUAUGAACCUUCAGGCGCUGCCAAAUUUCCUUUGUUAAAACUCAAAUUUCCUGGUAAACUUAUGAAUAUUUUUCUUUCAGUUUCUCAGAUAAUUUUGCUCGCAAUUUCACCGAAAAGUCCUGAAAAUUUCAGGGGAAAAUAUUCAUAACUUUCCUCGCAAAUGAGCAUUUUAUCUAAGAAAAUUUGACAACUCUCGAAUGUUCAUACGGCAUUCUUCCUUAGCAAGGUAGUAUACCACCAAGGAUCGUGUGCGGCCCAAAAGUUUACUUACGGGAAAUAUCGACGGUGAAACUACCAAACCACGUAUCUCGGUUUGCGACGUCGCAGACUUCCUGUCAUACUUUAUUUUUUAAAUGAAAAACUACUUAACGUCCAAUCUUGAAAAUUUCUGUGAUUUUUCCUCUUCGUGCGGAGAAAAUUCUGUGAAAAUUUCAAGAAAUGAUAUUGAUUUGGUCUAUCUCAAAAAAAUAAAAUGUGAGCGUAGAUUUUUAAACACCGCAAACGAGAUACGUGCGGUUUGGUAGUUCCACCGUCGAUAUGCUUCCCUAUCUUAACGGGUCCGCGCGCGUAACGUCACAGAGUGGCGAAACAGCAAAUAGCAACACGGAGAGUGGCAGAACGUACGGAUUUUGUCUAAUCUAUUGGUGAGAAGGACAUAAAAAGUUGGAGGGUCUGCAAGUCUAUACUCAAUUUAAAGUAAAAUGGUUUUAACGUUAUUGAGUGAAAUAAUUUGGUUAAUUAAUUAAGUGAGAAAUCACUCAUUUUUUCUGUGAGCUUAUCUGAAGUUCUGUCCGAUCACCAAGUUUCCACGGCCAGUGUUUCAAAAGAGGUAUCGCUCUUCAAAAACCCGGUGUAAAAAGUCAACCGCUGCGGUGAUGCAUAAAAUGGUCCCUUCAACCUUGAUUUCAUCCAUAUUUUAAAUGGAGCAAGAAGUAGUGCAAAUGUCUGUUUCAAUGAUUGAUGAUCAAAGGUGGAUGAGAUCAUUGUAUCAUGUGCGUGCACCCGUAGUAGAUGACAUCAUGCACUAUGUAUACUGGGGACGAUAACUCCGUUUUGAUGGAUGUAGGGACUAGACAUUUGAACGACUUUUGAAUUUUCAUUUGUCUGCACGAAGAAAAAUGUCCUGAGGCUUCUAGGUUAGAGUCCGCCGAAUAAAUUUUUUGCCGUAUUUCUUCUUAAGACAACCAUAUUUUUUUUGUUUGAACAGUAUUCUGA